rnacentral:rRNA from 1 species
UGGGGAAUCUUGCGCAAUGGGCGAAAGCCUGACGCAGCCAUGCCGCGUGAAUGAUGAAGGUCUUCGGAUUGUAAAAUUCUUUCACCGGGGACGAUAAUGACGGUACCCGGAGAAGAAGCCCCGGCUAACUUCGUGCCAGCAGCCGCGGUAAUACGAAGGGGGCUAGCGUUGCUCGGAAUUACUGGGCGUAAAGGGCGCGUAGGCGGAUCGUUAAGUCAGAGGUGAAAUCCCAGGGCUCAACCCUGGAACUGCCUUUGAUACUGGCGAUCUUGAGUAUGAGAGAGGUAUGUGGAACUCCGAGUGUAGAGGUGAAAUUCGUAGAUAUUCGGAAGAACACCAGUGGCGAAGGCGACAUACUGGCUCAUUACUGACGCUGAGGCGCGAAAGCGUGGGGAGCAAACAGG